rnacentral:snRNA from 1 species
GUGUCAAUUCAGAAGCACAGUUACUAAAAUUGGAAUAAUGCAGAAAGAUUCCAAUUUUCAGCAUGGCCUCUCCACAAGGAUGAUAUGCAAAUUCAUAAAAUGGUCAAUUUUUUU